AUAAAACUAUUAAAAGUGGAGUUCGAGAGAUUGUUUUGCAUGAUAUCCAAAUUCCAAGAAAAAGAAGUUGAAUUCUACCAAAAACAAGAUUGUUUACGUAUGGUGUUGAAUUUCUUAGGAAAUUUGGAGGAUGUAGAAGGAGUCAAUGCAAUAGUGAGAAUUAUUGGUAAGCUCACUGAUUCAGAGCAGAAAGAUAGAAUUAAAUCCCAGAACCAGUAUUUUAAAGAAAUCGCCACCAUCACUGGUGUAAGUGUAAUAUCAAUACACAGAAUAAAAAAAGAAGGGGGCAACAAAUGAAGGUGUCUGGAGUGCACCUGGAAAAAAACGACAUCAUAAACCACUGUUGGUUUCAUUUGGACAAUUUUGAGAUGCAUGCUAUUCGCAGUAAAAUUAAUGAAUUUUAUAUUGUUAAAAAACAAGUUCCAUCAUUGAGGACACUUUAGCUGGAAAUAAGAGAAAGCAUAGGAUUUACUGGAUGUCGAGAAACUCUUCGCCGACUAUUAUUGGCUAAUGGCUAUGAAAUUAAGAAAAACAAAAAUGAACGUUCUUUGUUAAUUGAGCGCAAUCACAUAUCUGCCUGGAGUCAUUACUAUUUAAGAUCUAUAUCGUUGAAACGUGCAGAAAGAAAGCUAAUAUUUUAUUUAGAUGAAACUUAUGUCCAUAAAAACUACAAACCUAAAAAAUCGUGGCAAGGUCCCUCUACAGGUGGUGCUAUUGAAAAUAUUUCAUCUAGAAAAAGGUACAUAAAUGUACAGGCAGGGUCGGAGAAAAGUCCUGUGCCUGUGUGUUUUGAUUUAGUAUUUAGCACUAAAUCAAAACUGGCUGAUUAUCACCGUGAUAUGAAUGCUGCCAACUUCCAUAAGUGGUCAGAAGAAAAGCUUAAAUGAGCGAAGUGUAAUUGUUAUGGACAACGCCAGUUACUAUUCCGUUAUAGUAAAUAAAGCCCCUACGACGCAGAAUCGCAAACAUGAGAUAAGAGAAUGGCUUACUUUGAAUAAUAUUCAAUUUGAAGAGUAUCGUACGAAAGCAGAACUGCUAUGUCUUGUAAAACGGUAUUAACCAGAGCCAAUAUAUGAAACCGAUGAAAUUUUAAAGCAAUGGUCAUGAGGUAUUGAGACUACCUCCAUACCAUUGUGAUCUAAAUGCCAUUAAGCUGGUAUAGAGUCUAGCAAAACGCAGAGUAACAAAUAAAAAUAUUAAAUAGACUAUAGAGCAGUUAGAAAAAGUGAUUAAAGAGUCAUUUAAAAAUGUAACAGCAGAAGAGUGGGAGAAAAUGACUAAUCAUGUUAUACAUGUGGAAAAGGAAAAUAUCAAGAAAGGGACAGGACUACAGAAGAAAAUUUAGAAAGUUUCAUAAUCAACGUCAGAGACAGUGGUAACAGCAAUGACUCUGAUGAGUCUAUGCAUAUUGAAUUUUUGGAUUCUGAUUUUGAUUAU